AUUGAACGCUGGCGGCAGGCUUAACACAUGCAAGUCGAGCGGAGAUGAGGUGCUUGCACCUUAUCUUAGCGGCGGACGGGUGAGUAAUGCUUAGGAAUCUGCCUAUUAGUGGGGGACAACAUUCCGAAAGGAAUGCUAAUACCGCAUACGCCCUACGGGGGAAAGCAGGGGAUCUUCGGACCUUGCGCUAAUAGAUGAGCCUAAGUCGGAUUAGCUAGUUGGUGGGGUAAAGGCCUACCAAGGCGACGAUCUGUAGCGGGUCUGAGAGGAUGAUGCGCCACACUGGGAAUGAGACACGGCCCAGACUCCUACGGGAGGCAGCAGUGGGGAAUAUUGGACAAUGGGCGGAAGCCUGAUCCAGCCAUGCCGCGUGUGUGAAGAAGGCCUUUUGGUUGUAAAGCACUUUAAGCGAGGAGGAGGCUACCUGGAUUAAUACUCUAGGAUAGUGGACGUUACUCGCAGAAUAAGCACCGGCUAACUCUGUGCCAGCCGCCGCAGUAAGAC
rnacentral:rRNA from 1 species